rnacentral:rRNA from 1 species
AAUGCUUAGAUAUCACGAAGAACUCCGAUUGCGAAGGCAGCAUGCUGGGCCGUUACUGACGCUGAGGCUCGAAAGUGCGGGUAUCAAACAGGAUUAGAUACCCUGGUAGUCCGCACAGUAAACGAUGGACACUCGCUGUUGGCGAUAGACUGUCAGCGGCCGAGCGAAAGCGUUAAGUGUCCCGCCUGGGGAGUACGGCCGCAAGGCUAAAACUCAAAGGAAUUGACGGGGGCCCGCACAAGCAGCGGAGCAUGUGGCUUAAUUCGAAGCAACGCGAAGAACCUUACCAGGGCUUGACAUCUAGGUGAAGCGGCGGAAACGCCGUGGCCGAGAGGAGCCUAGACAGGUGGUGCAUGGUUGUCGUCAGCUCGUGUCGUGAGAUGUUGGG